rnacentral:rRNA from 1 species
GGCGGCGUGCUUAACACAUGCAAGUCGAGCGGUAAGGCCCUUCGGGGUACACGAGCGGCGAACGGGUGAGUAACACGUGGGUGAUCUGCCUCGCACUUCGGGAUAAGCCUGGGAAACUGGGUCUAAUACCGGAUAUGACUUGCUGUCGCAUGGCGGUGGGUGGAAAGAUUUAUCGGUGCGAGAUGGGCCCGCGGCCUAUCAGCUUGUUGGUGGGGUAAUGGCCUACCAAGGCGACGACGGGUAGCCGGCCUGAGAGGGCGACCGGCCACACUGGGACUGAGACACGGCCCAGACUCCUACGGGAGGCAGCAGUGGGGAAUAUUGCACAAUGGGCGAAAGCCUGAUGCAGCGACGCCGCGUGAGGGAUGACGGCCUUCGGGUUGUAAACCUCUUUCGACAGGGACGAAGCGCAAGUGACGGUACCUGUAGAAGAAGCACCGGCCAACUACGUGCCAGCAGCCGCGGUAAUACGUAGGGUGCGAGCGUUGUCCGGAAUUACUGGGCGUAAAGAGCUUGUAGGCGGUUUGUCGCGUCGUCUGUGAAAACUCACAGCUCAACUGUGAGCUUGCAGGCGAUACGGGCAGACUUGAGUACUGCAGGGGAGACUGGAAUUCCUGGUGUAGCGGUGAAAUGCGCAGAUAUCAGGAGGAACACCGGUGGCGAAGGCGGGUCUCUGGGCAGUAACUGACGCUGAGAAGCGAAAGCGUGGGUAGCGAACAGGAUUAGAUACCCUGGUAGUCCACGCCGUAAACGGUGGGCGCUAGGUGUGGGUUUCCUUCCACGGGAUCCGUGCCGUAGCUAACGCAUUAAGCGCCCCGCCUGGGGAGUACGGCCGCAAGGCUAAAACUCAAAGGAAUUGACGGGGGCCCGCACAAGCGGCGGAGCAUGUGGAUUAAUUCGAUGCAACGCGAAGAACCUUACCUGGGUUUGACAUACACCGGAAACCUGCAGAGAUGUAGGCCCCCUUGUGGUCGGUGUACAGGUGGUGCAUGGCUGUCGUCAGCUCGUGUCGU